rnacentral:lncRNA from 1 species
GCCGAGGGGAGCGUUGAGUGACUUAGGCCUGAGGAAAGUCAGGCAGUAUUUCGUGCCUGACCGCAGGCGAUCAGCGCUGCCUGGCCCCCCCAGUCCCGCGGGGCUUCGGUGGCGCUCCGCCGGGGCGCAGGUCCCCGCGGCCCUGUCUGGGGGCGGACGUCCCUCACCCUCCGGCGCCUCUCGGCUGGCACCUCGCUCUUGCGGUUGGGUGACUGGAUGGAGCCCGUCUCGUCAGCAUUUCGCAUAGGCAGAAGUUACAGAUAGAUGGAGAUUUACACGUGUAUAUGCAGCUAUGCUUUGCUUUUUAAAAGACAUUGGGAGAUCCAGCUUCUUAGUUAACUUUUCUAAAAAAAGAAAAUCAUUUAUUUUCAGCUGGACUGCUUGGACCACUGAAUCUUCACAUGGGUACGUGCUGGCAGGAUCAGGCCACGGACAUCUGUGGGAGAUACCGGUAGGAUGUUAUUGAGACAGUGUGGACUAUCCCUGCAACAUCACUCAAGUAAGAACUGAAAAGGAGAUAGUCUGUACUGUAAGGAAUAUAUUUGAAAGGAGGAUGAAGGUGAAGUGUUGGUUACACUAAUUCCAGGAGAACACUAUUCUUUCUCCUCCUGGAUCCAAGGAAGAAGAGUUAUCCAUAACUUGUGAGUAGUAUGAGUUACGAAACUGACUUUAAAAAGUGGUAAGCCACAAUAGUUUGGUAAACAAAUCUAACAGCAAUAGAAAUGCUAGGAAUGACUAUAAUGUUUUCCUUACAUCUUUAUACUUAAUAGUUGUUUAUGUUUUUUUUUAACAUCUUCUCUUUGCUGAUGCACAUACUCCAUGUUCUGUAAUGUCUAAAGGUUUGUCUGGCUGGGAAAACUGCAUCAACAGACUGCUAUAAUUAUACAGGCAGAGUAAUAGUAUUGCUCAAGCAGAGACUGUUUCUCCAGCUUCAGCGUCAUUUUCCACUUUAGCUUAAGGCCUUUCUGAAGUUACAUAGACCAGAUUAAAAUGGUGGUCUUAUAAGAAAAUAAGAAUAUCCACCUUGGACACUGCAGCAUCUUUCCAUUAAAAAUGUUUUCAUUUAGGUUUUAAAAAUUAUUUUUCUGCGAGGAUGAUACUAAGUGUAUUUCCAUUAGAAGGUUUUAAAGAAUUUUACAAAAUAAGUAAUAGUACCCCAUUUUACAGCUGGGCAACUGAGGAGUAGAAUUUUUAACCAGAUUUCCACAAGUCACAUAGGAAAUACUUUCUGAUGUGGGAACAAAACAUAUAUCUUGCUCUCAUUAGCACAAAACCACAAAGCCUCUCUGAACUGUUGACACUGCUACCUAAUCUCAACCCCGGUGUUAAUGAGGCCACUUACACUCAAUUUUCAGUCAGAUCUGAAAAUGAGAGUCAGAUAUGAGGUGGGAUCACAGAAAUAACUCUGCAGUAUGCCUGAGUCAGGUUAAAACUUGCACCAUAAGGGGAUUAGGGAAUAAGUGCCAAAACUCUUAUCUGUAAUGAUCUCAAUUGAUUCUGACCACGUCAAUGCU